rnacentral:lncRNA from 1 species
CGAAAAUCAAAAUAAAUAUGCAUUAGAACCUUUCGACAAAGAGGGCAAUCGAAACCAUAAAAAUAGGCCAAAGAUGAAUCUAUAGCCCACCAAAAUGGACAAUUUCAUUCCAUUGUUUGUAACAGCAAAUAUUGUUUGCACCAUCACCAUCAGUAAUGUUGGCUUCUACCCUUGUAACUGAAAUCUUCACAUUUUCAAGAAAACUCCGAACCCACAAAACUAAAUAAAUCCACCAACAAGAAAUUUAAGAACCUUGAGAUAGGACUUUUAAUGAAACUCCCAACCCACAAAAAUAAAUAGUAAAUCUACCCUAGAAGAAACUUAAAAACCUUAAGAGAUAUAGGAUGUUCAUUCAAAACUCCCAACCAACAAAGUAAAUUUUAAAUCUACCAAUAAGAACUUAAAAACCCUACUUAGACGGAGAACUUUCAAUCAAACUCCCAACCCACCAUAGCAAAUAAGCCAUCGUUUGGCCCCCAUUCUUUCCAAAUUUUAAUUGUUGGAAUAUUGUUUUUUUGAAAAAUGGUGGUUGAAAGAUAAGGAAAAGUUUUUGAUUUGCGUGUAAUAUUAUUUCAUGGAAGAUUGUAUGAUUGAAAAUAAGAGAAAAAAAGAAUGAGAAGGAGAAUGAGGGUCAAACGAGAGCUAAGUCUACCAAGAACAACAAAAACAAAAUAAAAAUUCAGUUUUUUCGAGUUCUUGAGUAAAAAGAGUAGAGGAGCUGAUCGCUAAAAAGAAGGAAAAAUUGGUCAUGUCCAUCUCUGUAACACUAACUGCAACAAAUAUAAAAUGGAGAAUAAGAAAGGAGAAGUGUUGUUUGUGUGGGGAAGUGGAGUAAAG